rnacentral:rRNA from 1 species
GACGAACGCUGGCGGCGUGCCUAAUACAUGCAAGUAGAACGCACAGUUUAUACCGUAGCUUGCUACACCAUAGACUGUGAGUUGCGAACGGGUGAGUAACGCGUAGGUAACCUGCCUGGUAGCGGGGGAUAACUAUUGGAAACGAUAGCUAAUACCGCAUAAUAUUAAUUAUUGCAUGAUAAUUAAUUGAAAGGUGCAAUUGCACCACUACCAGAUGGACCUGCGUUGUAUUAGCUAGUAGGUGAGGUAACGGCUCACCUAGGCGACGAUACAUAGCCGACCUGAGAGGGUGAUCGGCCACACUGGGACUGAGACACGGCCCAGACUCCUACGGGAGGCAGCAGUAGGGAAUCUUCGGCAAUGGACGAAAGUCUGACCGAGCAACGCCGCGUGAGUGAAGAAGGUUUUCGGAUCGUAAAGCUCUGUUGUAAGAGAAGAACGGGUGUGAGAGUGGAAAGUUCACACUGUGACGGUAUCUUACCAGAAAGGGACGGCUAACCACG